UAAGGGAAAGCAAGACAACUCUGAGUGGCCAGCACAAAGCGGUGGGAUGGAUUUGAGCACUGAUUCAUGCAGUCAGGAAUGGAUGGACGAGACUUAUCUACUGAAGGAAAGACUACAAGCCAUCACUGAAAAGAGGAAAAUCCAGGAGAAAAUCACAAGACAACGGUUUGAAGUGGAUGAGGAGAAGCUGAAGCUUAAGCAUUUAAAGUCAAAGUCUUUGAGGGAACAAUGGCUUCUGGAAGGAGUGGUCAACAUCACUCCUCAAGAACAAGAGGCAAUAAGAAAGCAGCAUCUAGAAGACCAGCACCAAUCCAAGCAAAUGGAACAAAAGAUUCUCCGGCUCAAAGAAGAAAUAAAAACUCUUGAAAACCAAGAAGCCCAAAUUUCAUCUAAUGAACAACUGUUACUAAAAAAACUGAAAGCAACAGAAAGAUCGACAGCAGAUAUAAUUAAGGCAGCACAGGCCGAGAGUGAUCGAAAUCAGGUAAAGUUUGUACGCUCGGAGUUUUCAAACCCUGCAAAACAAUAUCAGUCUCAGAUAAAACAGAGAAAAGCAAGUCCAGAAUUUGAAACACAAGACUCAGGAGGGUCCAAAGCAGCUUUGUUUGCCGUGGAAAUCAAUGUCCAAAAGGAUAUGAAGACUGGAGAAAGCACCGUUCUAUCGACUGUACCAGUGAUGAUCGAUGAAAUCCAAAACAAGGGCGUGAAGGUCUAUGAAGAUAGGGCGAAAUCAGUAUAUGCUUUGCAUAGUGAUGGAAGACUGAUUCAGAAUGGUGUCAAUGACAUGACUCAUGAGGAGGUGGAAGCAUUGUUACAAAAGGCUGGUGAGAAACAGGCGAAUAUUCCUGUGGCUUGUCAUGCCCCGGUUUACUCAAGUUCCUACAGCAGCUCCCACUAUCCUAAAAUGUUUAUCAAUGAGCAGAUGGACUCGGAGCCAAGGAUUCAAGAAAACAUGGCUGCAAGUGAAGGAAUUGAGAGGCAUGAUCCAGUGAAGGCUCAAGUUUAUCGAACCAAUGAUGGUGACACAGAUCUGGUAAGGAAUUUGCCCAGUUAUCAACAGGCAAUGGUCACUCCUACUACUUCCUUAUCCUGCCCAAUAUCUAAUUGCUGGUCUCCGAGUUCCACACGAAGCCAGAGUCGACAAAGUUAUGAGUCGCCAAUACCUGAAAAUGAGCUGAAUUCAGUGCAGCUUCCUUGUCACCCGCCCAGGGACAAUUACCGCAAGGCCGUGUUUGUCAAUUCUGAACUCAAUCAUGAUGGCAGAGCUUCUACUACGUCUGAAAAUUUAGACAGUGGGCUUAACGUUUGCCAUUCCUCGCCUUCUACCAUUGACACAGAGGAACCAGUUACUAUGGUCUUCAUGGGCUACCACAAUGUCGAUGACGAAUAUGAAACCAGCAAAGUUUUAGGGUUUGAAGGAGCAAUCCGAGCAGAACUGGUCAUGAUCAGUGAUGAUGAUGAUGAUGAUGAGGUGAAUGCACAUCAAGCAAAUAACCUCACUAAUCCUGUAUUCCAUCCCGUUCCUCUUUCAACUGCGAAUGAGAUACAUAAAACAUCAUAUGCUGCUAUAACUCUAUCUGCAGGGAAUAACUCCCUCCCAAGGAAAUCCAUUUUGAUCUCAGGCCGAGAUAAUAAUCAUUCUCCCUACAGAAACUACUCUGGUGACCAGGUGGAUAAAGACGGAAUCUACAGUGACUCCACAGUGUCAGUGGCCUAAAAAUGUGCUCCAGUUAGACAUAAAGGAACUUAGAACUUACAUUUUGCCGAGAUAAGACAGUGUGUCAUAAAAAAAAUUAGUGUGCACAUCUGAUGUACGUACACCUAACCACAACAACAAAUACUGAACUCUCUGAACAUUAACCAGCACCAGUAUUGCGCAAAAUUCUGAUUCCACUGAUCCAUGAAGCUUAGCAAGAUGAUAAAAUCAGGGAAUUCCAAGGACAUGUGUGAGUAAAUAUAACAAUAUGUGUAAAAUUUGUAAUUUACCAACUCAUUUAGCAGCAUUAAAUGUAAAGCAACAAACACAGAUUUUAUUAUAAUAUAAUUACAUUAUAUAUAAUGAAAGAGGAUGAGAGGUGACCUGAUAGAGAUAGACAAGAUGAUCAGAGGCAUAGAUAGAGUGGACAGCGAGAGCCCUUUUUCAAGGGCAGAAAUGGUUAAUACAAGGUGGCAUAAUUUUAAGGUGAUUGGAGGGAAGUAGAGGGGGGAUAUCAGGGAAGAAUAGUUGGUCCAUGAAAUGCCCUGCCAGGGAUGGAGGUAAAAGCAGAUACAGUUGCAGUAAGGAGAUUUAAGUAAGUCUUAGAUAGGUACAUAGAUUAUAUAAAAUUAGGGGCAGUGAUGCAAGAAAGAAGAGCUAGAUUGAUUUUAGAGUUAAUUAACCUUGUGGACUGAAGGGCCUUACUGUGUUUUAAUGUUAUAUAUCCUAUGCUCUAUUUAACAUAUAUUAUAUCCAGUCCAUAUUAAUAAAUCUCUCUUCUAAUACCUAAGCUUUCUAAAAUAUAUGCUUUUAUGUGAAAUAUUAAUGCAGGUUGUAGGAUGACUUUAGCAAAAGAUAUGAAACUCCCUUUUCAGCUGCAAGUCAAUUCACUUUAAGUUUACAAGUACUGCUUUAAAUGGACAAUUGUAUCUCACAAUACUUUAAUAAACUAAAAUGUCCCUAUUUACAGUUGACAGUGAUAAUGAUUAAAUACAAGUAUGCUAUAAACUUUAAAAAUAUGCAAGUCCUUUUCCUUUAUUCAGUCUAAAUGUUAGGUUAAAUGUUUUCACUGUUUGCCUGGAAAAUAACCUCACUUCCCAUUGUUAAAAAGAACUUAGUGCAAAGAAACAAGUUCAGUUUAUAAUCUGUUGCAAAUAUAAUCAUAAUGAAGAAACCUCUCUGCAUUAAGCUGAAAAUAGUAAGCAAUAUCCCUCUCCACAAUAACUUAAAUGUUAUUUGUAAGCUUUAUGAAUAGAGAAUAGCAUAUAACUUUUGAUAACUAAUAUUAUUUGGAACAAGUAAUAACUCUUAUUCAUAGAAUCAUAGAAAUCUACAGCACAUUGCAAGCCCUUCAGCCCACAAUGUUGUACCAACCAUGUAAUCUACUCUAGGAAUUGCCUAGGAUUACCCUACUGCAUAGCCCUCUAUUUUUCUAAGCUCCAUGUACCUAUCUAUGAGUCUCUUAAAAGACCCUAUUGUAUCCGCCUCUACCACUGUCGCUGGCAGUGCAUUCCACACACUUACCUCUGACAUCACCCGAGUUCCUAUUUCCAGGCACUUUAAAACUAUGCCCCCUCAUGUUAGCCAUUUCAGCCCUGGGGAAAAGCCUCUGGCUAUCCACACAAUCAAUGCUGCUCUUCAUCUUAUACACCUCUAUCAGGUCACCACUCAUCCUAAAUAGCUCCAAGGAGAAACGGCCAAGUUCUCAUAACUUAUUCUCAUAAGGCAUGAUCUCCAUUCCAGGCAACAUCCUUGUAAAUCUCCUCUGCACUCUCACUAUACUAUCCACAUCCUUCCUGUAAUGAGAUGACCAGAAUUGAACACAGUACUGAGAGUGGGGUCUAACUGAGGUCUUAUAUAGCUUUAACAUUACCUCACACUCUUGAACUCAAUCCCAAAGUUGAUGAAGGCAAUCAAGCCUUCUGAACGACACUGUCAAUCUGCGCAGCAGCUAAGAGUGCCCUAUGGACACGGACCCCAAGAUCUCCCUGAUCCUCCACACUGCCAUGAGUAUUAUCAUUAAUAUUAUGUUCUGGCUUCAAAUUGGACCUACCAAAAUGAACCACUUCGCACUUAUCUGGGUUGAAGUCCACCUGUCACUUCGCAGCCCAGUUCUGCAUCCCACCGAUGUCCCGUUGUAACUUCUGACAACCCUCCAGACUAUCCACAACACCCCCAACUUUUGUGUCAUCAGCAAACUUAUUAACCCAGCCUUCUACUUCCUCCUCCAGGUCAUUUAUAAAAAUCACAAAGAGGAGGGGUCCCAGAACAGAUCCCUGCAGAACACCACUGGUCAAUGUCCUCCAUGCAGGAUAUGAACCACCUACAACCGCCCUUUGCCUUCUGUGUGCAAGCCAAUUCUCAAUUCACAAAGCAACGUCUCCUUGGAUCCCAUGCCUCCUUACUCUCUGAAUGAGCCUUGCAUGAGGAACCUUAUUAAAUGCCUUACUGAAAUCCAUAUACACUACAUCCACUGCUCUGCUUUCAUCAGUGUGUUUUGUUUCCUCCUCAAAGAAUUCAAUUAAGCUCGUAAGGCACAUAACCAUGCUGAAUAUCCUAACUGGAUUAUAUCUUUCCAAAUGCUCAUGAAUCCUGUCUCUCAGGAUCUUCUCCAACAAUUUGCCCACCACUGAAGUAAGACUCAUUGUUCUAUAAUUUCCUGGGUUAUCUCUACACCCUUUCUUAAACAAGGGAACAACAUUUGCAACCUUCCAAUCCGCUGGUACUUCUCCAUCCCUAAAGAUCAUCACCAGAGGCUCAGCAAUCUCCUUUCUCACUUCCCACUGUACAGUAUCUCUCAUCCAGUCCCAGCGACUUCCCUAACUUAGUACCUUUUAACAGCUCUAGCACAUCCUCUUUCUUAAUGUCUAUAUGCUCAAGUGUUUCAGUCCACUGUAAGUCAUCCCCACAAUUGCCAAGGCCCUUUUCACUGGUAAAUACUGAAUCCUUUGCUUUUCCCAUUUGCCUUUAAGCGGACAAAUACAAAAUGCGAUUAUUUAAGUUAUUGCAAUAAGUUGAAAAUUCUUUAGUUGUUUUCUGACUUUAAAUAUUCAAGAAAAUGUUAUUGUAAAUAAGUGAUAGUAAAUAUAUUUUGAUACUUGGAGAGUAGUUCUGAAUCAAUCUGAUUACUGUAAGUCAGGAGUCACAUUUGGGCUAAACCAGGUAAGGUCAGCAUAUAACCUUCCCAGAAUGAUGUUAGUGAAGCAAAAAUGUUUCUAUAUUUUUCUUGUCAAAUUCAAGAUUAUUUAAUUAACUAUCGUUAGAUUUUGCAGUUGCCUGUCACAUACCAUCUUGGCUUCAAAAUAUAUACCUUGUCUAAUACACUAGUUACUGGUAGAGGCUUACAAAUACCAGUUCAGCCCAGCAUAAGACUACUCUGCCUUUCCAAUAUAUACUAUGUCAUUAUAUUUUGACUGACAUAGGCAGACACAUUCCAAUGGACAACAUUUUGGAUUGCAUGUUUGUUUCAGUAGCAUUUCAAUGGAAGUGGUAAUAUUAUUGAUAUUGUGUUGAGUGAUAUUUGACCGGGAGCAUUUCAAAAUUAAUGUGAAGUAUGAAUUGAAGAUCUUAUUUACAGAAUAUAUUGAAUCGACAGGAACUUAGAAUCUGUUAAUAUUCUCUGUUACAACAGGAACUUCAGUCUUCACUAAUCUAAUACGCUAAUACUUUUGCACAUAUCCUUUCUCUGCUCUAAGUGCAUGGCAGCUUCUCACAACUAAUCAUGUGCUUAAGGCUUCAGCAUAAUAAUGUGCCUUAGAAACUAAAAUGGACAGGCUAGGU